rnacentral:lncRNA from 1 species
AAAGGCUAUAGGCAUAAUAGGUAUUAAAAAGCAUGAAGAGGCUAAAAAAACAACAUUAAAAUGCAUUUGAAUGCCCCCUUGAAUGUUUUUUAGGACUGUAAGAGCCAUCUUGCAUAUUCAACCACCAUGGGCAUUUUGAAAAGUUGGAAAGUAGGACAAUUACUAGUAUAACUUUUUUUAAUGCCCAAAUGCUAGUCGAAGAGGCAUUAACUUUUACUGUUGUCACAAUGUUCUCCAUGCAUAUGUCUGUCUGUACAGAAAUUGGUUUCAAUUUUCUUAAGUUUCAAACAAUUCUUUUUUUCACAAAACACUGAUCAAUGAUACUAGUGAUCAAUUUAAUUUGAAAUUGAGUGACAUCAUUUUGACCAUUCGUAAGUUAUGCCCCUUUAUUAAUGCAAAAAAUCUUUCUUUUCUAGUCUCUACUUUAGUUUGUUACAACAAUAAAACUUAUACACUGCUUGUUACCACAAAACAUAGAUCUGAGACUACUAAUUACUAGUAUACAUAGUAGUUUCAGCACAGAUCAAGGUAAAAUUUGACCUGCAUCACUGUUACUGUUCUUGAGUAACCUGUAUUUAUGCUCCUUUAUUAUUAAAUGGAAAAUUGCCAAAUCUAUGGUUGAUCCCACAAACUUUUGUAUACAGAUGAUAUUUAUUUAGAUAUGAUUUACAAACUUCAGAAAAGGUUGAGAAGCAUUUUAAUUCUAGGGAAUAUCAACCUGAAGCAAGUUGUACCAAUGGAAAUGACGGAAGACCCAGUAAGAACACUGCAUAAUUGGGAUUGCAACUUCACCAUCUGAUACAGCAUCUAGUUCAUCAAAGAUGACCUAUGCUGAAGUGGUGAGACUUCCUGUGCAUGCAAAAGGAGACCAAACUAAGACCACCUUUGAUAUUAAGGUAUGAAAAUAAUGUCUAAUAUUAUAUGAAUGGAAUAUGUGCCGGAGGUAUGUCUGUCAGUUUUUAUUUUAUUUAGACUCGUAGUAAACCCCUCUGUCAUCCAUCUAUAUAUGUCCAUCCUUUUUGCAAGUGCUGAUCUGCUGAUAUUGAUGAAACAUUACACAUUAACUUUGAUGCGCAACUGUUCAGGGUAUGACCUCUGCGGUCGUAUAAAGCUGUGCCCUGCGGAGCACCUGGUUACAUGAUAAACACUGUAUUAAUUUAUGCAAGCUUCUUCAGAAUAUUUUUCCUCAAAAUGGGUCCUAAAUGAACGGUCAUUCUGGCGUGACACAAUUUAUUGACUGACAUCAUUGUUUGGAAUGUGACGUCACAAAGGUCAAAUUUUCAUAUUUCUGACACAUGAAUGAAAUGCAAAUGUAAAAAAAAAACUCCAUGAAAUACCACAUACAAAACAGCACACAAAUUGUAAGGUAACCCACGUACUUUGGAUGAGUAAUUGAGCAGUUAUUUUAAAGCUUUUAAAACAAUAGAAAAGAAAAAAUGAAGGUAACCCAGGUUCUAUGGAUCAGAAAGCAAUCAUAUACAUGAUGUAUACUCUCCUGUUGAAAUAUAUUAAGCGUAUAAAAAUACUCUAUAUAUAUAUAAGUAUUUGGACCGUAUAGUUUUCGUAUACUCGCACUGUCCGACCAAAUGCGUAUGGUCGGACCUGUGAGUAUACUUGUAUGGUCCAGUAUGAGCUGACCAUACAUGUUAUUGGAUUAUAUGGGUUUAAACAAACAUUUAUCACAAUCUUUAUUUUUUAGUUUUACAAAAAUGUUAUUACAUGUAUUACAAUUUAACUAGUAGAUGGAUAAGAUGAACAAACAGACAAUUGAAAUUAAAUAUUUGUUUAAUUGUAUAUCUGAAUCAUAUUGUGGUACUCUGGCCCAAGGUGACAUUUGCUAUCACAAGUAACGUAAUAUUUUUUUAACGUUUCCAUGUUUGCAGUUCAUGCAUGUUCCUUUGCAUUUGCCUUUUUUUUUGUAAAGUCACUAAUUAUUCUAAAACAAUAUAGGCCUCCACAUUAUGUUUACUUACAAUAUCUUCAAUUUCAGUGAUCAUAAUUCAUAAUGUUUUACUGAUCAACAUUCUAAAUACAAGAGAUUGACAGAUUUAAUUAGCAUGUAUUUUUGAAAUAGUUAAAAUAUAAAGUUUUUAUUUCAAUUAGCAUUGAACUUUUUUUAUAUUAAUUUGAGUUAAGUUAUGUUGAUCAGUUAUAUGCAUUUGUAUCUAAUAAACUUGACCAACUUCCUAAUAUUAGUCAGACUGUACGCAUACUGUCCAACCGUAUGAGUAUUUUGAAAAAGUACACAUACGGUCCAGACCAUACACGUAUAAAAAUGAUAUUAAAGUUGUGUUUAACAUUGACUAUGAAAAAUAGUAGCCAGGGUUUGAGACAAGAGGGGAUGACCCUUCAGGUCAUGCACUAUUAUAUCUCACCCUGGCUACUAUUUUCACAUAGUCAAUGUAAAACACAACACUAUUAUAUAAAUAAUUAAUCCCCUAAAAAUAAAUCUUAAAAUUCUUAAUUCUUAAUUUAGUCUCCACAUAAAUAAGCUGUACAGAAUAAUAUUGCAUUUAAUAAACUGAAAUGUGACUAUGAGUCUCCUAUAAACCUAGAAAACAAUUUAUACCAGGCAAAUAUUGCAUGUAAAAUACUGAGAUGUGAAUUUGGGUCUCGUAUAAACCUACAUUGUAGAUUAAAAUUAUAUCGGGCAAAUAUUGCAUGUAAAAUACUGAGAUGUGACUAUGGGUCUUCUAUAAACCUGGAAAACAAUUUAUACUGGGCAAAUAUUGCAUGUAAAAUACUGAGAUGUGACUAUCCGUCUUCUAUAAAUCUAGAAAACAAUUUAUACUGGGCAAAUAUUGCAUGUAAAAUACUGAGGUGUGACUAUGGGUCUCCUUUAAAACAAGAAAACAAUUCAUACUGGGCAAAUAUUGCAUGUAAAAUACUGAAAUGUGACUAUGGUCGCCUAAAACAUAGAAAACAAUUUAUACCAGGCAAAUAUUGCAUGUAAAAUACUGAAAUGUGACUAUUGGUCUCCUAUAAACAUAGAAAACAAUUUAUACCAGACAAAUAUUGCAUGUAAAAUACUGAGAUGUGACUAUCCGUCUUCUAUAAAUCUAGAAAACAAUUUAUACUGGGCAAAUAUUGCAUGUAAAAUACUGAGAUGUGACUAUGGGUCUCCUUUAAAACAAGAAAACAAUUCAUACUGGGCAAAUAUUGCAUGUAAAAUACUGAGAUGUGACUAUGGGUCGCCUAUCAAACCAGAGAAAACAAUUUAUGCCAGGCAAAUAUUGGAUGUAAAAUACUGAAAUGUGAUAUGGGUCUCCUAUAAACAUAGAAAACAAUUUAUACCAGACAAAUAUUGCAUGUAAAAUACUGAGAUGUGACUAUGGGUCUCCUUCAAACAUAGAAAACAAUUUAUACUGGGCAAAUAUUGCAUGUAAAAUACUGAGAUGUGACUAUGGGUCUUCUUCAAACCUAGAAAACAAUUUAUACUGGGAAAAUAUUGCAUGUAAAAUACUGAGAUUUGACUAUUGGUCUCCUUUAAAACUAGAAACCAAUUCAUAAUGGGCAAAUAUUGCCUGUAAAAUACAGAGAUUUGACUUUGUGUCUCCUAUAAACCUAGAAUUUUAAUACUGAAAUGUGACUAUGGAUCUCCAAUAAACAUCGAAAACAAUUUAUACCAGACAAAUAUUGCAUGUAAAAAACUAAGAUGUGACUAUGGGUCUUCUAUAAACCUAGAAAACAAUUUAUACUGGGCAAAUAUUGCUUGUAAAAUACUGAGAUGUGACUAUGGAUCUCCUAUAAACCUAGAAAACAAUUUAUACUGGGCAAAUAUUGCAUGUAAAAAAACUAAGAUGUGACUAUGGGUCUCCUAUAAACCUAGAAAACAAUUUAUACCAGGCAAAUAUUGCAUGUAAAAUACUGAGAUUUGACUAUUGUUCUCCUUUAAAACUAGAAAACAAUUCAUACUGGGCAAAUAUUUCAUGUAAAAUACUGAGAUAUGACUGUGGGUCUCCUAUAAACAUAGAAAACAAUUUAUACCAGGACAAAAAUUGCAUGUAAAAUACUAAGAUGUGAACUAUGGGUCAUCUUAAACCUAGAAAACAAUUUAUACCGUGCAAAUAUUGCAUGUAAAAUACUGAGAUGUGACUAUGGGUCUUCUAUUAACAAAGAAAACAAUUUAUACUGGGGAUAUAUUGCAUAUUGAAUACUGAGAUGUGACUAUCAGUCUAUUCAAAUCAAACUACAAAUCAAGUCAUACUGGGAAAUAUUGUACUGAGAUGCAUGUGACUAUCAGUUUAUUGUAAACCUUGAAAUCAAUUUGUACUGGGAAUAUAUUGCAUGUAAAAUACUUUGAUGUUUCUCUCAGUUCAUUAUAAACAUAUAAAACAAUGUAAACUGGGCAUAUAUUGCAUGUAAUGAAUAUCUUUUUCAGAGAUGGGUUUAAGCUGACAGAAAUAACAGAAUAAAUGUCUCAGUAAUUUCUAAUAAUGGAGUUGAAAGCAAAAUAAAACACGAAAAUAUGAAUACUUGCAACUAAGGAAAUCCUUCACCUUGAGCCAUUUGCUGUCGGUGAUGGAUAUAAAUGCCAGGUAUGCCAGGUAUGUUUAUUGUAUCAUGAACAAAAAAGCAACAUUUAUGGUCUUCUUAGUUCUUGUUUUUUGUUGUCUUUCCUUUGAUUUUAAAAUAAGAAGAUACCUUAGUUUAGUUAAAACAUAUUUAUUUAUAGUGUAUUGGGAAACAAGUUUCGCAACUUAUAUUAAUCCCUUUAUAUGUAUGCCCUUGUAGCGGCAGUAACCUGCUGUUUUUCGAAAUCUACAAGGAUGUCUUUAACAUGCAGUUACCUGAUCUAAAUUCAAAAAAAUUAAUGAAAUAUUUUUUUAUAUAAUUGUUACACUGUACUGUAUGCUAAAUCUAUUGUAGAUUAUUGUUUAAACCCCCCUGCCAUGAUAUAAUCUUGUUCUUUAUCAAACUAAUGUUAAAAACACCCAACAAAGUUUUUGGGUGAAUAUAGAAAUGACCCUGUCUGUCUGUCUGUCCGUAAAAACAAAACACCAAUUGACCUAUCAAAUAAAUGUAAUUAUCUGCCCUUGAUUCUAAACGUUUUUUUUUUUUUUAUAAAUCUAAUACGCUUAUUCACACUUAAUUUUUUCAUAGUUUGAUCUACCUUUUCAAGCUAAAGAUGUUCCAGCAGUAUAAUGAAUAAUACUUGUUAAAACAUUUUUAAAACAAAAAAGGUAUAUUUUGCACCAUACCCAAACAGGAAGAUCAGAAAAAGACACCAUUCCAAUUUGAGUUUAUUAUAUCAUUGGAAAAGCCAGCCAUCUGGUAGAAAUAUGACCAAUACAGUUCAAAGUUUAUAUUUUUGUUCGUUUUAAAUGAAUGUUUAUUUCAAAAAUUGAACCAUAUUUUAUGAAUUUUACAUGAAAACAAUUCUAUUUUAGGUUGAUCAAGACUUCAAGUGCCGAUACUAGUGUCAAAGAGUGAAGGACAAGAACAAUUUUAAAGAAAAGACUUGUUUUAUUGUACUUAGUUUUUAGUUGUUGUUUAUGUUUUACCACUAUGAUGGCUAUAGAGUAAUGUAAAAUUCUGGAAAUGUAAUUUUUUUAUAUAUCUGUUUUGUAAUUACUCCUUUUAAAAUAUGUUAUAGAUGGGUUUUUUUUUAUACCUGUUCCUACUUGAGUACCAAGGACAACUUUUUGAAGUUUUUAGUAAGGUUCCUUUCUUUGGUUUUUUUUUAUUACAUAAAAUUAAGAUGUCAUUCUUGGAUAACUCAGACAUGCAGAUGUUUUUUUUACUUCUUGUUAUGUGUAGUAUUAAUCCCUCCCCACAUUAUAUUUAGUUUUGAAAAAAAAAUACCAUAAGGACUGUCUACCAUGGAUGCCUCUUUAAAUAAAGAUAAUAUUGGCAUACAUAAUACAUGUAAUACAAAAAAUUAGGAAGACUUCAUACAAAAAAAAUUUGAAAGUGUCACAUCAGUGAUUCUUUUUGUAUAAUUUAGGUUAGUUUUUAAUCUCAUUUUUCAUUUGGGAUUUUCUUUGUUGCAUAGAGAAUGCAUUUAUCAUCAUUUUUAAUAUACCUCACAAUGUGAUUUUUAAAUGUUGUAAAUACAGAAAAACAUACAUAAUAGUCCAGUCAAACCUUAUCCAGUCAAACUAAGGUUUGACCUCAAACUAAUUGCAACAGAAAAUGUUUCAGUUCUAAUCUAUAUAAAAUUAAACCCCAGAUAUACGCAGAAAAAGGUCAAAUAAAAUCUAACUUGAGGAAAACUCAAAAUCAGCAAUUUUUAUUUCCAACAUUGAAAAGGAAAGAUAACUCAUAAAAAAUGAGUCUUUUUUGUCAGUUUUUUGUUGAUUUUCCUAAAAUUCAUGUAAAGCAUGAUAUUUUAAUGGGGUUAUAAGUUCGUAUUUGACUAUAUUAUAUCAUCUCCCUCUCUUGAAAUGUACAAAACCGAAUUGUUAUAGGUAUUUCUAUUGUUUUUG